ensembl:lncRNA
UAAAAAUCUGCAUUACAGCCCAGAACAUGGCUUGUCUUUCACAUCACUGUCACCACUGUUGAAACGCACCACCCACCACCUCACUGUGUUCACAUCCACUGUUUGUUCUUCAUGAACACUGAGCAAACUUUGAUGAAUGUCAAUGGGUACAAUAUUUUCUGCAUGGAGGAAUUCAGUUACUCACCUUUGCUUUAUAAGCACUUCCAUGUCAGACACCAUUCUGUCAGCCUGCUCCUCUGCUGCCAUCUGUGACACGGCAACAACAUGUAACAGAAUACUGGCAGGAAGGUUCCACCUCUACUGCCGUACCACCACCAUCUGCCUCUGGCAUCAUGGGCCAAUGUAAUAUAAAUAGGAGGCAUUACUUUUGUAGCAGACUUCACAAAUGAUUGCAUUUCAGUGCUUGAAAAUGCUGGACAGAAACAAACCUGAAGCCUAGCUCUGAACUAUAGAGAGAAAUUCUGACCAUUUCAAGACUAUCUUUUCUCUGAAUUUAUGUCACUGUUCUGGGUCAAGCAAUAUACUCCUGGAAAACAGGAUCCUUGCUCGGAAAGAGAAGUCAGGAUAUAAAAAAGCUCAAUAUUCCCAAAAUGACUUUCACCUAUCCAGCUGCUCUUUGGCCGUCCUGGAAGAAACUCUGGAAGCAACCAGUAUUGCUUCUUGUUCUCCUGACGUCAACCAGGGAAGAAUUAGGGAAGAUAUGGACAUCAUGAACUAGUUGCUAAACCAUCCAUAAAUGACUGAAGCAAAUACUGGCAAUGAUUUGCAGCUCCUGGAACAACUGAAUAACAUUGUUGAUAAAUUAUGGAACCUGACAAGAAAACAGAGGGAAAGAGUCCCCACAGAUGUUUAAGUGAGAGCUCCCGGACUGCCUGCAGACUGCCUGCGAACACUCUGCCCAGUGCUUUGACAGCUGUGCUCUCUCUGAAAGAUCCCAGGUGCAAUCUGCAUUCUGGCCACGCAAAGCUUGCAGGCAUAUUGGCUGCAUAUGCUGAAUAUGUGUUCAGAGAGUACUCAGAAGUUGAUGUUUGCUGUGAGGACAUCUUCCUUAAGAAAAUAAUGAGUUACAACUUGCGAAAAUCAAAAGUGAGUCAUCAACUGAAAAACCUAAAAUUUUUUUGCUGUGAAAUGUUACUGGAAUAGUUCAGAGGCUUCAACAACAACCUAAAAAUUUUUGUGUAGUACUGAAUUACCUCACCCUGAGCAAGAUCUGACUGGAAUUACAAGGAUCAACAACAGAAGAAAGAUCAAUGUUUCCUUAAAACAAAUGUUAAUACUAAAAAUGCAAAUCAUUGACAUGGACGUUUGCACAUGUCAUUGAUAAUUCAAGUAAAAUCAUUCAUUUUUGUUAAAGCAUCAUUUUGCAUCAAAAUGUAUGUGUCCAGUCUUGCAUCUUUUACAGACAGUCUUUCAAUGAAUAUAUUUAUUAGUUUUAUUGUUUAAAAUUGCAUUAUAUUUCACUUAUUUUUUGCUUCUUGAGGCAGUUUAUUAUACCCUUGGUCAGCAUUUCUGGGCAGGAAGAACACCUAUGAAUAAACUAAGUACAAUGGCAUCCA